UUUCUCCCAGGCAUCUAGUUCUGACUUAGUAAUCCCCAGACUUGGUAACUACCUAAGCAACGCAUGUUGACCAUCUGUUCCCACAGGAUUGGGGCAGGGAUGAAAAGCAGAAAGGAUGGUAAAAACCCAGUAUUUAACAUUCCCCUAGAUUGACUUUUUUUUUUUAGCAGAAAGCUAUGAAUCUAAGGAGAUGUUGAUUCGAUUUUCACAAUCCAUCUUUCCAAGGGCAGUGAAACACAGGAAAGGAGCUGCUUUUCUUGGAAGGAAAAGAGAAUGUCAAGUUGUUACUAUUUAUUUGUAUUCACACAUCCUGUCUCUCCUAAUAUCUCACCUGUCAGAGACUAAUGGGACAAAAGCAGACAGGUAGGAUGGCUUUAAAUUAUGUGUAUUGAGAAAAAUAAAUGAAAAACAGCAUGCAAAACAAUCCCAGGAAAUCAACAUGGUUGCUGUUUGGUUCUCUCAUGCUCCCCACCAGAGGCUAAGGAGGAAGAUAACAUUUUUAUUCAAUUCAAUCCAAAAAUUGUUAGGAACUGGAGAUGGAAAGAUGAUGACAUGGCCCUCAAGGAACUCAGAACAGAUGAGAAGGGACAUGGAUGAAUCUGGAAACCCUCAUUCUCAGCAAACUGACACAUGAACAGAAAACCAAACACUACAUGUUCUCACUCACAGCUCCGUGUUCAGCAAUGUCACAUUGGUAGCUUCAAAAAGGCCACGGUGGGAGAAUUUAUAUCAUGAAAACCAGCAAACACUACAAAUCAGAACUUUUUGAAAGAGAGCUGCAUUUACUAGCACACCCCUGGAUAAAAAGUCUUGGGAUUUUUUGAAAAUUUCUAAUGAAGGUCGGGUUUUUCUUUAAGGUACUCUAAAAAUUAAUCUGAUAACUUGAAUGGUUUCAAAUAGUGAAUGCUGUUCUGAAAACAAUUUAUUUGCUGGGAGGCAUGCCUAAACCUGAGAAUGAUCUAUUUUCAAGGAGACAUAAUAAAAGAAAAAAUUAGUCAAUGCUCUUAAUGUAAUCAUUUUGGGAAGUUAGCUUUGACAAGGUAACACCACAUUUAUUUAUUAUAGGAUUAUGACUUUUUCUGAAGUUCCAAUUGGGAUUACAUAUCAGUCCAUUCCCACACUUCUAUAAAGUAGUACCUAAGACUGCGUAAUUUAUGAAGAGAUUUAAUUGAUUCACAGUU
rnacentral:lncRNA from 1 species